rnacentral:rRNA from 1 species
UACGUAGGGAGCAAGCGUUGUCCGGAAUCAUUGGGCGUAAAGCGCGCGUAGGUGGCCUCGUAAGUCCGCUGUGAAAGUCAAAGGCUCAACCUUUGAAAGCCGGUGGAUACUGUGAGGCUAGAGUACGGAAGAGGCGAGUGGAAUUCCUGGUGUAGCGGUGGAAUGCGCAGAUAUCAGGAGGAACACCAAUAGCGAUGGCAGCUCGCUGGGACGUUACUGACACUGAGGCGCGAAAGCGUGGGGAGCGAACAGG